rnacentral:lncRNA from 13 species
AUGAGCGGUGUCACCACCUGCCUCCGCUUUCCUGGCCAGCUCAAUGCUGACCUCCGCAAGUUAGCAGUUAACAUGGUCCCCUUCCCACGUCUCCAUUUCUUUAUGCCUGGCUUUGCCCCUCUCACCAGCCGUGGAAGCCAGCAGUAUCGAGCUCUCACAGUGCCCGAACUCACCCAGCAGGUCUUUGAUGCCAAGAACAUGAUGGCUGCCUGUGACCCCCGUCAUGGCCGAUACCUCACUGUGGCUGCUGUCUUCCAUGGUCGGAUGUCCAUGAAGGAGGUCGAUGAGCAGAUGCUUAACGUGCAGAACAAGAACAGCAGCUACUUUGUGGAAUGGAUCCCCAACAAUGUCAAGACAGCCGUCUGUGACAUACCACCUCGUGGCCUCAAGAUGGCAGUCACCUUCAUCGGCAACAGCACAGCCAUCCAGGAGCUCUUCAAGCGCAUCUCAGAGCAGUUCACUGCCAUGUUCCUCCGGAAGGCCUUCCUCCAUUGGUACACAGGCGAGGGCAUGGACGAAAUGGAGUUCACCGAGGCUGAGAGCAACAUGAAUGACCUCGUCUCUGAGUAUCAGCAGUACCAGGAUGCCACCGCAGAAGAGGAGGAGGAUUUCGGUCUGCACCACAGGAGGAUGCUUUUCCUGGUCUUCCCCACUUUCAGCAUUUCUUGUGAGUAUGCACUGGAUUUUCAUGGAGAACAGCCUGACAGGACCUGCCUACUUCAAAGAGAAAGCUGUCUGGACGAAGGGAUUGCCAUCCAGAGAUGCCUCCAAGAUGAAGCUAACAUAAAGAAAACUACAGUAUACAAAUCUCUCUUUUUCCCCCAACAUUCCAUAUGGGUGAAUUCAAGUAAACAUUGGAUGAAGUCUUGAAAAGACAAUGAUAUGCGCUCUUAUACAGAGAAAAGCCCACACGUAUCAAGCUAUUUACAAGGCAUGACACUUUAGUUUUCUCCUCCCGGUUUACUCUUCUACCUUCUGCAAUGUAUUGUUUUUUUCUAGCUUUUAUUUUAGGUUCAUGGGUACAUGCGUGAGUUUGCUAUAUAGAUAAACUGCAUAUCACAGGGGUUUGCUAUACAGAUUAUUUUGUCAUGCAGGUAGUAAGCAUCAUACCUGAUAGAUAGUUUUCUUUAAUCUUCUUCCUUCCUCCUUCCAUCCUCAAAUAAGACCCAGUGUCUGUUGUUCCCCUCAUUGUGUCUGCAUGACUCAAUGUUUAGCUCCCACUUAUGAGUGAGGACAUGUGGUAUUUGCCUUUCUGACCCUGCAUUAGUUCGCAUAGGAUUAGAACCUCCAGCUGCAUCCAUGUUCUCACUCUGUUUUUAUGGUUGCAUUGUAUUCCAUGGUGUAUAUGUACCACAUUUCUUUGUUCAGUCUUUCACUGAUAGACAUUCAGGUGGAUUCUAUGUUUUUGCUAUUGUGAAUAGAGCUGCAGUGAAUAUGUGUGUGCAUCUGUCUUCAUGGUAGAAUAAUUUAUAUUUCUUUGAAUAUACAUACUCAGUAAUGGAAUAGUUGAGCCAAAUGCCAAUCCUGUUUUAAGUUCUUUGAGACUUUCCCAUACUGCCUCCAUCAGUGGUUGAACUAAUUUACAUUCCCACCAGUGAUAUAUAAGCAUUCCCUUUUCUCUGCAAACUCACCAGCAUCUGCUAUUUUUUUUACUUUUUAUUAAUAGCCAUUCUGACAAGUAUGAGGUGGUAUCUUACUGUGGUUUUGAUUUGCAUUUCUCUAAUCAUUAGUGAUAUUGAGUAUUUUUCAUAUGUUUAUUGGCUGCAUGCAUGUCUUAUUUUCAAAAGUGUUUGUUCAUGUUCUUUGCCUUUUUAAUGGUGUUUUUUUCUUGUAAAUUUGUUUAACUUACUUAUAGAUUCUGGAUAUUAGA